rnacentral:rRNA from 1 species
ACUCCUACGGGAGGCAGCAGUGGGGAAUAUUGCACAAUGGGCGCAAGCCUGAUGCAGCCAUGCCGCGUGUGUGAAGAAGGCCUUCGGGUUGUAAAGCACUUUUCAGUAGGGAGGAAGGUAGUGUAGUUAACACCUGCAUUAUUUGACGUUACCUACAGAAGAAGCACCGGCUAACUCCGUGCCAGCAGCCGCGGUAAUACGGAGGGUGCGAGCGUUAAUCGGAAUUACUGGGCGUAAAGCGCAUGCAGGCGGUUUGUUAAGUCAGAUGUGAAAGCCCGGGGCUCAACCUCGGAAUUGCAUUUGAAACUGGCAGACUAGAGUACUGUAGAGGGGGGUAGAAUUUCAGGUGUAGCGGUGAAAUGCGUAGAGAUCUGAAGGAAUACCGGUGGCGAAGGCGGCCCCCUGGACAGAUACUGACACUCAGAUGCGAAAGCGUGGGGAGCAAACAGGAUUAGAUACCCUGGUAGGAUAGCG